UAUCAUGUUGAAACACCAGUUCCUAUACAAUUGCCAAAGUUAAGCAAUGUUGAGCCUAGUCAAUACCCAGAUAGGUGACCGCUUGGGAAUACCAGGUGCUGUA